UGAGGAAUAUUGGUCAAUGGACGAGAGUCUGAACCAGCCAAGUAGCGUGAAGGAAGACUGCCCUAUGGGUUGUAAACUUCUUUUAUAAGGGAAUAAAGUGCAUCACGUGUGGUGUUUUGUAUGUACCUUAUGAAUAAGGAUCGGCUAACUCCGUGCCAGCAGCCGCGGUAAUACGGAGGAUCCGAGCGUUAUCCGGAUUUAUUGGGUUUAAAGGGAGCGUAGGCGGCAGGUUAAGUCAGUUGUGAAAGUUUGCGGCUCAACCGUAAAAUUGCAGUUGAUACUGGCCUGCUUGAGUGCGGCAGAGGCAGGCGGAAUUUGUGGUGUAGCGGUGAAAUGCUUAGAUAUCACGAAGAACUCCGAUUGCGAAGGCAGCUUGCUGGAGCGUAACUGACGCUGAUGCUCGAAAGUGCGGGUAUCAAACAGG
rnacentral:rRNA from 1 species